rnacentral:rRNA from 1 species
UACGUAGGUGGCAAGCGUUGUCCGGAAUCAUUGGGCGUAAAGCGCGUGUAGGCGGCUCGAUAAGUCUGCUGUGAAAGUCCAGGGCUCAACCCUGGGAUGCCGGUGGAUACUGUGGAGCUCGAGUCCGGAAGAGGCGAGUGGAAUUCCUGGUGUAGCGGUGAAAUGCGCAGAUAUCAGGAGGAACACCAAUGGCGAAGGCAGCUCGCUGGGACGUGACUGACGCUGAGACGCGAAAGCGUGGGGAGCAAACAGG